CUACGGGGGGCUGCAGUGGGGAAUAUUGGACAAUGGGGGCAACCCUGAUCCAGCCAUGCCGCGUGUGUGAAGAAGGCCCUCGGGUUGUAAAGCACUUUCAGUGAGGAAGAACGCCUGGUGGUUAAUACCCAUCAGGAAAGACAUCACUCACAGAAGAAGCACCGGCUAACUCCGUGCCAGCAGCCGCGGUAAUACGGAGGGUGCGAGCGUUAAUCGGAAUUACUGGGCGUAAAGCGCGCGUAGGUGGCUUGAUAAGCCGGUUGUGAAAGCCCCGGGCUCAACCUGGGAACGGCAUCCGGAACUGUCAAGCUAGAGUGCAGGAGAGGAAGGUAGAAUUCCCGGUGUAGCGGUGAAAUGCGUAGAGAUCGGGAGGAAUACCAGUGGCGAAGGCGGCCUUCUGGACUGACACUGACACUGAGGUGCGAAAGCGUGGGUAGCAAACAGGAUUAGAUACCCCAGUAGUC
rnacentral:rRNA from 1 species